UAUUAGCAAACAGAGAGAGAGAGAAAGUCUCAAUAGUUCAAGGGCAAGUCCUUGUUUGGUUUCUCUCUCUUCAAGGUUUGAGAUCCAUCAUGUUCUUCAGAUUCUCUGUCCUGUUGCUCCUGUCUCUGUUCCUUUAUCCGGCGUUGGCUUCCGAGUCAGAUCACAAGUACCAACAAGAUGAGCCAGUUUUCCUUUGGGUGAACAAAGUUGGUCCUUAUAACAAUCCACAAGAAACAUACAAUUAUUACAGCCUCCCAUUUUGCCGUCCGCCUGGUAAUGCUGCACACAAAUGGGGUGGUCUUGGUGAGGUCCUGGGUGGCAACGAACUCAUUGAUAGCCAAAUUGAGAUAAAGUUUUUAGGAAAUGUGGAUAGGACCACCUUUUGCCGUCUGGAUCUUGAUGAAGCAAAGGUUAAACAGUUCAAGGAUGCAAUAGAGAAUAAUUACUGGUUUGAAUUCUUCAUGGAUGACCUUCCAUUGUGGGGGUAUGUUGGCGAGCUCCAUCCUGACAAGAACAGUGAUAAUGGCAAGCAUGUGCUUUACACGCACAAGAAUAUCAUUGUUAAAUACAAUAAAGAUCAGAUCAUUCAUGUGAAUCUCACUCAUGACAACCCUAAGCCUUUGGAAGCAGGAAGACCUUUGGACAUGACAUAUUCUGUCAAAUGGAUUUCUACUAAUAUCACUUUUGGACGCCGAUUUGAUGUAUACCUGGACUAUCCGUUCUUUGAGCAUCAGAUUCAUUGGUUCUCCAUUUUCAACUCUUUUAUGAUGGUCAUUUUCCUUACUGGAUUGGUGUCAAUGAUAUUGAUGCGAACUUUGAGAAACGACUAUGCAAAGUAUGCUCGGGAAGAUGAUGAUUUGGAAACUCUGGAAAGAGAUGUUAGUGAGGAAUCUGGCUGGAAACUUGUGCAUGGUGAUGUUUUUCGGCCUCCUCGCAGUUUGGUUCUUCAUUCAGCUGUUGUUGGUACAGGUGCUCAGCUUGCAUUGCUGGUUCUUCUUGUCAUCUUGUUGGCUAUCGUUGGGAUGUUGUAUGUUGGGCGAGGAGCCAUUGUCACAACCUUCAUUGUAUGUUAUGCUCUCACGUCAUUCAUUUCUGGUUAUGUGAGUGGGGGGAUGUACUCACGUAAUGGGGGUAAAAGUUGGAUUAAAUCCAUGAUCCUUACAGCAUCGCUGUUCCCAUUCUUGUGCUUUGGAAUUGGAUUUAUCUUAAACACAGUUGCUAUAUUCUAUGGAUCUCUAGCAGCAAUCCCUUUUGGUACAAUGGUGGUUGUCUUUGUUAUUUGGGCUUUCAUAUCUUUCCCUCUAGCACUUCUUGGCACAGUUGUUGGAAGAAACUGGAGUGGUGCUCCAAAUAAUCCUUGUCGCGUAAAGACCAUUCCUCGCCCCAUUCCUGAGAAGAAGUGGUACCUCACACCAUCUGUAGUUUCUCUAAUGGGAGGACUGCUUCCCUUUGGCAGCAUAUUCAUUGAGAUGUAUUUUGUAUUUACUUCCUUCUGGAAUUACAAGGUGUACUAUGUCUAUGGCUUCAUGCUAUUGGUUUUUGUGAUUCUUGUUAUUGUCACCGUUUGUGUGACAAUUGUUGGGACAUACUUUUUGUUAAAUGCUGAGAACUACCACUGGCAAUGGACUUCUUUCUUUUCAGCUGCCUCAACAGCUGUUUAUGUGUAUUUGUACUCAAUAUACUACUACUAUGUGAAGACAAAGAUGUCAGGCUUCUUCCAAACCAGCUUCUAUUUUGGAUACACUUUGAUGUUUUGUCUUGGACUGGGAAUUCUCUGCGGAGCUGUGGGUUAUCUUGGUUCGAAUUUGUUUGUGAGGAGGAUCUACAGAAACAUCAAGUGUGACUAAGGCUUUUCUGUGAGUCUAGAUCAGAGCACUUCUAUGUGUCUGUUGCUGGACACAAUAAAUUCUUAGAGGAAGCCUCUGGUCAUGUGUGGGGGGGACCAAACAAAAGUUUACAGGUAGUAUCACAGGGUUUUGAAGAUGAGGAUGUAUUCUUUCUCACAAUAUUAGGGAAGCCCUGAGCUUUUUUCCAUUGGCUGUAAUUGAAAGCCUUGAUUUAGAAUGCAGGGAUUGAUCUUUAUAAUUUAGAUAGCUAGCAACAUAUCAGACUCUUGUGGUUACACUCUUUCAUCCAUUUAUAUAUAGGUGCCCGAUUGACGGACUGAUGUCUGAUUCCCCAACACGGUUUAGCUAUUGAAUCAAUGCCAUGGGGUGUGAAAUGCAGCACGGCAAGGAUAAACAUUCAAUGGUUGUAGAAGCGAAAGUAUAUUGCUCGUGUUCCGCUUUCUUUGAGAUUCAAGUGUUCACGUUUGUUGUAAGCAAAAAUUCCCUUAACUGCUGAUGUGGGUUACAUUGGAAUUUGGCAAGAGUUUAAAUGAAAUUGAACAAAUUUUAUCACAGUUGCUCAUGCGUUUUCAUAUGUGCUUCGAGGUCUUUUCACAAGGUAAUUGUACAAUUAGCAUUACUCG